ensembl:snRNA U6 U6 spliceosomal RNA
GUGCUCACUUCGGCAGCAUAUAUCCUAACCCUGGAACAAUGUAGAGAAGAUUAGCAUGGCUCCUGCGCAAGGAUGACAUGCAAAUUCGUGAAGCGUCCCAUAUGUUU